UACGGAGGGUGCAAGCGUUAUCCGGAUUCACUGGGUUUAAAGGGUGCGUAGGGGGGCAAGUACGUCAGUGGUGAAAUCUCCGGGCUUAACCCGGAAACUGCCAUUGAUACUAUUUGUCUUGAAUACUGUGGAGGUCAGCGGAAUAUGUCAUGUAGCGGUGAAAUGCUUAGAUAUGACAUAGAACACCAAUUGCGAAGGCAGCUGGCUACACAAAUAUUGACACUGAGGCACGAAAGCGUGGGGAUCAAACAGG
rnacentral:rRNA from 1 species